rnacentral:rRNA from 1 species
AUUGAACGCUGGCGGCAGGCCUAACACAUGCAAGUCGAGCGGAUGAAGGGAGCUUGCUCCUGGAUUCAGCGGCGGACGGGUGAGUAAUGCCUAGGAAUCUGCCUGGUAGUGGGGGAUAACGUCCGGAAACGGACGCUAAUACCGCAUACGUCCUGAGGGAGAAAGUGGGGGUUCUUCGGACCUCACGCUAUCAGAUGAGCCUAGGUCGGAUUAGCUAGUUGGUGGGGUAAAGGCCUACCAAGGCGACGAUCCGUAACUGGUCUGAGAGGAUGAUCAGUCACACUGGAACUGAGACACGGUCCAGACUCCUACGGGAGGCAGCAGUGGGGAAUAUUGGACAAUGGGCGAAAGCCUGAUCCAGACAUGCCGCGUGUGUGAAGAAGGUCUUCGGAUUGUAAAGCACUUUAAGUUGGGAGGAAGGGCAGUAAGUUAAUACCUUGCUGUUUUGACGUUACCAACAGAAUAAGCACCGGCUAACUUCGUG